UAUUCUUGCAAAUUAUGAUUGCGAUUAUAAUGGGCGUGUUAAUCAUGAUACCAAUCGUGACUUUCAUAAUUAUAUUCGCGUUCAAUGAUGAACAGUCACCGUCCAACAUUAUCAGUUCGCUAAACACUUUGGAAAUCCCAAAACGCUUCUCAUUAAAUGAUGAUGACAUCAGAAGACGACACUGGGCAACUUACAGAGAUCAGUCAAACGGUAACUCGCUGCAAAAAUAUGUAUUUUAGCUAAACAGGCAAUUUAUUAUAACAUUAAGUUGCUACUGAUUCCUCC